UACGUAGGGGGCAAGCGUUGUCCGGAAUCAUUGGGCGUAAAGCGCGUGUAGGCGGCUCGAUAAGUCUGCUGUGAAAGUCCAGGGCUCAACCCUGGGAUGCCGGUGGAUACUGUCGAGCUCGAGUCCGGAAGAGGCGAGUGGAAUUCCUGGUGUAGCGGUGAAAUGCGCACAUAUCAGGAGGAACACCAAUGGCGAAGGCAGCUCGCUGGGACGUGACUGACGCUGAGACGCGAAAGCUAGGGGAGCAAACAGG
rnacentral:rRNA from 1 species